GGGCUGGGAAAGACCGGUGCCAGCCGCCGCGGUAAUACCGGCAGCUCAAGUGGUCGUCGCUUUUAUUGGGCCUAAAACGUCCGUAGCCUGUUUGGUAAAUCUGUGGGUAAAUCAACCAGCUUAACUGGUUGAAUUCUGCAGAGACUGCCAGACUAGGGACCGGGAGAGGUGUGGGGUACUCUAGGGGUAGGGGUAAAAUCCUGUCAUCCUUAGAGGACCACCAGUUGCGAAGGCGCCACACUGGAACGGAUCCGACGGUCAGGGACGAAGCCUAGGGGCACGAACCGGAUUAGAUACCCGGGUAGUCCUAGGUGUAAACGCUGUGAACUUGGUGUCGGGGAUCCGUCAUGGGUCCCCGGUGCCGGAGUGAAGAUGUUAAGUUCACUGCCUGGGGAGUACGGUCGCAAGGCUGAAACUUAAAGGAAUUGCGGGGGGGAGCAC
rnacentral:rRNA from 1 species